AUUUGAAAACAUUUCUAGCAGAUUUUCUAGUCUAUUUGCGAUUCUGUGCAAUGAAAUGGAGAUAGGAAAGAGAACUAGAAUAAGCGACAACCUGAGAGAUAUUUUGGAAAGGUUUUACGGCCGUGGAAUGGUCGGUGUUGGUCUAAAUUAUCGCGAAAUGAUCGAAAGCGCUGUAGCAGAAACUGGCUUAACAACGACUCAAGUUAUAUUAAAAGGUAAAUAUAGAUAUCAUAGUGAUGUUAAUGUUGACUAUUUACUAUUAAAGACACUAGAUGACAUACAAAAAUAUACUAAUAUAAACUAGUAUCAGGCCUUACUUGGAUGAAAACCAAGAUACUUGAUCAAUAGUGCAGCUACUGUGCAUUCAAGGCACUAUUUUCUAUGCACCUACUUAUGCGAGAGUCUACUUCGUAUAUUGUUAUUACAUGCCUAGUUGACAAUCUGAACUUACUGUAACAUGCAUGUUUCCCAUUGAUGAGUGAAAUUGUCUGGCGUUAGAAAAGUAAAAAAAAGUAGGGGCACUGGGGCACAUUACGUCUCAAUGGGUUUAAUGCACCUAUCGAUUUUAAGCCCCAGGGGGGGGGGGGGGAUCGGGCAUAGGUGGGGCAUUUGAUUUUUCGAGCACAUUUUCAAUCAAAUGCCCCCACCGUCGGGCAAUAAAUAUUGGUCAAAUGCCCCCACCAUCUUGCAAUAAAUUGCAAUAAAUACUAUGUUAAUAACCUGCCUCGUACCCAGGCGCUUACAUGAAGUAUUCAGGUAGGCAUACGACACGCGAAGGGGCUGUUGGGAAGGGUGCAUGCUGGGGAGCGCCUGGCAGUUCUUGUAUACUGUCAUGGCGGGAAAACAGGGAAUUUUAUACAAAAAGUUACCAUAUCGUCAUAUACUCUGUGUGUAAAACCUUAUUUUGUGAUGAAGAGUUGAACUGAACGCCAUUGGCAAAUAAUAAUACAUUUGUAGAUGUUCGAUGACAUGCAAAAUGCGCGAAAAAUUAUGAGUAAAUAACAUGACAAGUUAACCGUGCGAAUAUUUCGAAUAUGUCAUUCGAUAUUACAUGGAGAAUAAUAAAAUGCUAUCAGUUGCUCAGUUAGCAUAAAACAGUAACAGAGAAAUGAUUAGAAAGUCAUAUAAUUGCUUUUGUAUUAAUAACUUCUUUAGCUGAAAGCUCAAUCAGUCGAUCACAAUGCCAAUGGCAAUUUCUAUUAAAUGUAUACUGUAAACAAAAGCCAAAGUAAAUAAAAGUUCACAGCCGUAAAGUUUGAAAUAUUUAUUACAAUAGUGCAAUUUUAUAGUCUGUACCUUUAUAUAGUUAUAGCUUACAAAUGUAGUUCCUGCAAGUCUAGUUCUUCAACGCUUCGGUUGUUGACAUGUUAAUAUUGGAAUUUCCAUGGACUUUAAGGGCAUAUAUAUGUCAUAUAUACCAAGAAUAACAGCAUGAAUUCACACCCGGAUGACAGAAGAAUAUUAACAUUAGUCAAUUCAACAAAAACAAGUAGCAAAAAAUCGUAAACGACAACGAAAUAGCACAACUUGCAAGAAAUCGUACAAAUUUGCAAGAAAUCGACCAAGAACUGCCAGGCGUCUCGCAGUUCAAGUACACUCUUCCCAUCAGCCCCUUCGCCAUCUCUCCCCACUACAAUACUUCAUGUAAACACGUCAUAUGGGCAUCACUGCUUUUUUACAAGGAGACGCCUGGGUACGAGGCAGGUUAAUAACAGUCAUUCGGUUCAAAUUGCCCCAACUUGGGGCCAAAAUGCUAAUCAAAAUCCCUAGGGUGGGGAUGGAAUUGAUAAUCAAAUACCCCACAUAUGCCCGAACUCCCCCCCCCCCCUCGGGGGCUUAACAUUGAUAGGUGCAUAAUAACUAGAGACAUUGUCAGAUUUUUUGGUUAACCCCUUAAAGUGCAGAGCUUCCCCAUUGUCAUUAGACAAGCAAAAAAAGUAGGGUGCACUGGGACGCAUUGCGGCUUAAUGAGCUAAUAGGCAUGCACACACGAUCAAGCGCCUUCCUAGGCUAGACCUGUAGGGGUGCACCAGAAACCAUUUUUUUAAGUUCCGGCUGGAACUGGAUCUGGCCGGAACUGGAAGAAAGUUCCGGCUGGAACUGAGUCAUAUGGUCAUAUGUUACUUUGUCUGCUGCCAGACAGUCAGACACUUUCAGACAUGAAACAGAGAGCAUGCAAAUGUUAGAAUAAAAAGAUUGACUAUUGUUAAACAACAUAAUGAAGUGUAAAUAUCCAUGUGUUUGAGUCAAAAUAGUAUAAACAAUCGAGCCAUUUUAUAGUCAAUUGAAACCAUUGUUUUACCUUAAAUGAAUUGAAAGCUCAAACUUAGCUUAUAUAUCAAACAUAUCCGACUGGAUAUUCUGGCCGGAUAGCAAAAAGCUCUACCUGGUUCAGUGGUUCACCCUAGGCUUACUAACAUUGUCUUGGUGAAGCAAUAAAAUGCAAAUAUUCAGCCAUGAAAUAUAACCAUGUGGUGAUUCAUCAGUUUUGUAUUCUGCUCUUUUAUGCUACAUAUCUAAUAACAAAGUGAUAAAGUAAGAGUAAGAGCAAAGAGAAAAUCACUCUGCAUUGAUAUUAUGUGCUUCAGGAAAUAUAUCUUCAAAAAUGAUAGAACUCUGGCUAGGGCUCCUGUGCAACUAACACUAAACCACAUCAUGUUGCAUGUUUUAUUUCUUUAAGAAGGUCUCUGACCGUGCUUUUUUGUCGCCACCAUGACAAUGCACGUCAAUCUUUUUGUUUUGCUAAACUGUGUUUUCUUGUAUAUAAAUAUAUAGGAUCCUUGUUAAUAAGAUUCAAUAAAGGUUGAGAUUCAAUAAAUGUUCAUAUAACUCAUAAAAGGGUCAAGAUUGUGCCAUAUGGGGGGGGGGGGAAUUUCCGCAAAUUCUCAUUCCCAGAACAAUAUUGAUGAAUCACCCAGAAUCUUAUUUUUAUAAUGUCCUUUAGAUGAGUGCAAAGAUUUGAUGUUGAUUGAGAAAAACCAGUUGGCUUCUGCAGCAUGGAAGCUCACAGGUGAAGAUGAGAAGCAAGUGUUCAAGAGUUCAUCAGAUGACCUCGAAUCAUGGCUGUUGGCAAAAACAUGAAGCACAGCCAGGAGGAAAAACCUUUAAUUUUGCCCGUUUAUACUGAAGCAGAAGAAAGGUUAUUCUAUGCUAUCACUAAAGCCAACUUAAAUACAGCAAACAGGACCACUUACAAAGAUUACUGGUUGGACCUUAGUCCUACUAACUGAAGGUUACAAAGUCCUGCAUUCCAAACAAGUGACUUUACUGGGGAAAACAUUCGUACAAUGCAUGGUCCCAUGUAUUUCACACUGACUGAAACCUUAGGCCAGACAAGUUACAACUUUCCACUAGGAAAUAGGCAAGCCAUUGAAAAAGCUCUUGGAACACUUAGUUAAAUAAGUAGCUUAAGUUUGGAGUAGUAAUGUAAAUAGAUUUUCCUAUACACUGUAAAAAAAUUGUACAAUAUACGUUUUAUUGUAGUCGCUUAUUGUC